rnacentral:rRNA from 1 species
CGCGGCCUAUCAGCUUGUUGGUGAGGUAACGGCUCACCAAGGCAUCGACGGGUAGCUGGUCUGAGAGGAUGAUCAGCCACACUGGGACUGAGACACGGCCCAGACUCCUACGGGAGGCAGCAGUAGGGAAUAUUGCACAAUGGGCGAAAGCCUGAUGCAGCAACGCCGCGUGCGGGAAGAAGGCCCUAGGGUUGUAAACCGCUUUCAGCAGGGAAGAAAAUGACGGUACCUGCAGAAGAAGGUGCGGCCAACUACGUGCCAGCAGCCGCGGUGACACGUAGGCACCAAGCGUUGUCCGGAUUUAUUGGGCGUAAAGAGCUCGUAGGCGGUUCAGUAAGUCGGGUGUGAAAACUCAAGGCUCAACCUUGAGACGCCACUCGAUACUGCUGUGACUUGAGUCCGGUAGAGGAGUGUGGAAUUCCUGGUGUAGCGGUGAAAUGCGCAGAUAUCAGGAGGAACACCAGCGGCGAAGGCGGCACUCUGGGCCGGUACUGACGCUGAGGAGCGAAAGCAUGGGGAGCAAACAGGAUUAGAUACCCUGGUAGUCCAUGCCGUAAACGUUGGGCACUAGGUAUGGGAUCAUAUCAACGGAUUCCGUGCCGUAGCUAACGCAUUAAGUGCCCCGCCUGGGGAGUACGG